GAUUAAGUUAUUAAGGGCGCACGGUGGAUGCCUUGGCACUAGAAGCCGAUGAAGGACGUUACUAACGACGAUAUGCUUUGGGGAGCUGUAAGUAAGCUUUGAUCCAGAGAUUUCCGAAUGGGGAAACCCAGCAUGAGUUAUGUCAUGUUAUCGAUAUGUGAAUACAUAGCAUAUCAGAAGGCACACCCGGAGAACUGAAACAUCUUAGUACCCGGAGGAAGAGAAAGAAAAUUCGAUUCCCUUAGUAGCGGCGAGCGAAACGGGAAGAGCCCAAACCAACAAGCUUGCUUGUUGGGGUUGUAGGACACUCUAUACGGAGUUACAAAGGACGACAUUAGACGAAUCAUCUGGAAAGAUGAAUCAAAGAAGGUAAUAAUCCUGUAGUCGAAAAUGUUGUCUCUCUUGAGUGGAUCCUGAGUACGACGGAGCACGUGAAAUUCCGUCGGAAUCUGGGAGGACCAUCUCCUAAGGCUAAAUACUCUCUAGUGACCGAUAGUGAACCAGUACCGUGAGGGAAAGGUGAAAAGCACCCCGGAAGGGGAGUGAAAUAGAACCUGAAACCGUGUGCUUACAAGUAGUCAGAGCCCGUUAAUGGGUGAUGGCGUGCCUUUUGUAGAAUGAACCGGCGAGUUACGAUUUGAUGCAAGGUUAAGCAGUAAAUGUGGAGCCGUAGCGAAAGCGAGUCUGAAUAGGGCGUUUAGUAUUUGGUCGUAGACCCGAAACCAGGUGAUCUACCCUUGGUCAGGUUGAAGUUCAGGUAACACUGAAUGGAGGACCGAACCGACUUACGUUGAAAAGUGAGCGGAUGAACUGAGGGUAGCGGAGAAAUUCCAAUCGAACCUGGAGAUAGCUGGUUCUCUCCGAAAUAGCUUUAGGGCUAGCCUCAAGUGAUGAUUAUUGGAGGUAGAGCACUGUUUGGACGAGGGGCCCCUCUCGGGUUACCGAAUUCAGACAAACUCCGAAUGCCAAUUAAUUUAACUUGGGAGUCAGAACAUGGGUGAUAAGGUCCGUGUUCGAAAGGGAAACAGCCCAGACCACCAGCUAAGGUCCCAAAAUAUAUGUUAAGUGGAAAAGGAUGUGGCGUUGCCCAGACAACUAGGAUGUUGGCUUAGAAGCAGCCAUCAUUUAAAGAGUGCGUAAUAGCUCACUAGUCGAGUGACACUGCGCCGAAAAUGUACCGGGGCUAAACAUAUUACCGAAGCUGUGGAUUGUCCUUUGGACAAUGGUAGGAGAGCGUUCUAAGGGCGUUGAAGCAUGAUCGUAAGGACAUGUGGAGCGCUUAGAAGUGAGAAUGCCGGUGUGAGUAGCGAAAGACGGGUGAGAAUCCCGUCCACCGAUUGACUAAGGUUUCCAGAGGAAGGCUCGUCCGCUCUGGGUUAGUCGGGUCCUAAGCUGAGGCCGACAGGCGUAGGCGAUGGAUAACAGGUUGAUAUUCCUGUACCACCUAUAAUCGUUUUAAUCGAUGGGGGGACGCAGUAGGAUAGGCGAAGCGUGCGAUUGGAUUGCACGUCUAAGCAGUAAGGCUGAGUAUUAGGCAAAUCCGGUACUCGUUAAGGCUGAGCUGUGAUGGGGAGAAGACAUUGUGUCUUCGAGUCGUUGAUUUCACACUGCCGAGAAAAGCCUCUAGAUAGAAAAUAGGUGCCCGUACCGCAAACCGACACAGGUAGUCAAGAUGAGAAUUCUAAGGUGAGCGAGCGAACUCUCGUUAAGGAACUCGGCAAAAUGACCCCGUAACUUCGGGAGAAGGGGUGCUCUUUAGGGUUAACGCCCAGAAGAGCCGCAGUGAAUAGGCCCAAGCGACUGUUUAUCAAAAACACAGGUCUCUGCUAAACCGUAAGGUGAUGUAUAGGGGCUGACGCCUGCCCGGUGCUGGAAGGUUAAGAGGAGUGGUUAGCUUCUGCGAAGCUACGAAUCGAAGCCCCAGUAAACGGCGGCCGUAACUAUAACGGUCCUAAGGUAGCGAAAUUCCUUGUCGGGUAAGUUCCGACCCGCACGAAAGGCGUAACGAUUUGGGCACUGUCUCAACGAGAGACUCGGUGAAAUCAUAGUACCUGUGAAGAUGCAGGUUACCCGCGACAGGACGGAAAGACCCCGUGGAGCUUUACUGUAGCCUGAUAUUGAAAUUCGGCACAGCUUGUACAGGAUAGGUAGGAGCCUUUGAAACGUGAGCGCUAGCUUACGUGGAGGCGCUGGUGGGAUACUACCCUAGCUGUGUUGGCUUUCUAACCCGCACCACUUAUCGUGGUGGGAGACAGUGUCAGGCGGGCAGUUUGACUGGGGCGGUCGCCUCCUAAAAGGUAACGGAGGCGCUCAAAGGUUCCCUCAGAAUGGUUGGAAAUCAUUCAUAGAGUGUAAAGGCAUAAGGGAGCUUGACUGCGAGACCUACAAGUCGAGCAGGGUCGAAAGACGGACUUAGUGAUCCGGUGGUUCCGCAUGGAAGGGCCAUCGCUCAACGGAUAAAAGCUACCCCGGGGAUAACAGGCUUAUCUCCCCCAAGAGUUCACAUCGACGGGGAGGUUUGGCACCUCGAUGUCGGCUCAUCGCAUCCUGGGGCUGUAGUCGGUCCCAAGGGUUGGGCUGUUCGCCCAUUAAAGCGGUACGCGAGCUGGGUUCAGAACGUCGUGAGACAGUUCGGUCCCUAUCCGUCGUGGGCGUAGGAAAUUUGAGAGGAGCUGUCCUUAGUACGAGAGGACCGGGAUGGACAUACCUCUGGUGUACCAGUUGUCGUGCCAACGGCAUAGCUGGGUAGCUAUGUGUGGACGGGAUAAGUGCUGAAAGCAUCUAAGCAUGAAGCCCCCCUCAAGAUGAGAUUUCCCAACUUCGGUUAUAAGAUCCCUCAAAGAUGAUGAGGUUAAUAGGUUCGAGGUGGAAGCAUGGUGACAUGUGGAGCUGAUGAAUACUAAUCGAUCGAAGACUUAAUCAA
rnacentral:rRNA from 1 species